UAUGAAGAUUAUGACAGAGAAGAAAACCUCACAGAGAGUAGCAGAAAAUAAUCCUUGACGCAAAUCCCCGGCAACGGCGCCAAAAACUUGCUACAACUUUAAGGUUGCAAACCCAAGUGCAGGUUGUCGCAAGUAGUAAAUCUCGGAAGUCCGAGGUCGAACCACAGGGAAUUGGAAGGAAAUAAACUAUUCUAUGAGUAGUGAACGAUUGGUGGAAAUACGAUUGAGACGAACACUAGAGCGUCG
rnacentral:lncRNA from 1 species